rnacentral:rRNA from 1 species
UCUACGGGAGGCAGCAGUGGGGGAUAUUGCACAAUGGGGGAAACCCUGAUGCAGCGACGCCGCGUGUGGGAAGACGGUCCUCUGGAUUGUAAACCACUUUCCCCAGGGACGAAGAUGACGGUACCUGGGGAGGAAGCUCCGGCUAACUACGUGCCAGCAGCCGCGGUAAUACGUAGGGAGCGAGCGUUGUCCGGAAUUACUGGGUGAAAAGGGAGCGUAGGCGGGACUGCAAGUUGGGUGUCAAAUCUACCGGCUCAACCGGUAGCCGCACUCAAAACUGCAGUUCUUGAGUGAAGUAGAGGCAGGCGGAAUUCCUAGUGUAGCGGUGAAAUGCGUAGAUAUUAGGAGGAACACCAGUGGCGAAGGCGGCCUGCUGGGCUUUUACUGACGCUGAGGCUCGAAAGUGUGGGGAGCAAACAGGAUUAGAUACCCGGGUAGUC